CCUACGGGAGGCAGCAGUGGGGAAUAUUGGACAAUGGGGGGAACCCUGAUCCAGCGACGCCGCGUGAGUGAAGAAGUCUUUCGGUAUGUAAAGCUCGAUCAGCAGGGAAGAAAGAAAUGACGGUACCUGACUAAGAAGCGCCGGCUAACUACGUGCCAGCAGCCGCGGUAAUACGUAGGGGGCAAGCGUUAUCCGGAUUUACUGGGUGUAAAGGGGUCGUAGGCGGCGAUGCAAGUCUGAAGUGAAAGGCGGGGGCCCAACCCCUGGACUGCUUUGGAAACUGUCUGGCUGGGGUGCAGGAGAGGUAAGUGGAAUUCCUGGUGUAGCGGUGGAAUGCGUAGAUAUUAGGAGGAACAUCAGGGGCGAAGGCGACUUACUGGACUGUAACUGACACUGAGGCACGAAAGCGUGGGGAGCAAACAGGAUUAGAUACCCGGGUAGUC
rnacentral:rRNA from 1 species